AUUGAACGCUGGCGGCAGGCCUAACACAUGCAAGUCGAACGAGUGGCGGACGGGUGAGUAGUGUCUGGAAAACUGCCUGAUGGAGGGGUAAAAGUACUGGAAACGGUAGCUAAUACCGCAAAACAUCAGAUGUGCCCAGAUGGGAUUAGCAUGUUGGUGGGGUAACGGCUCACCAAGGCGACGAUCCCUAGCUGGUCUGAGAGGAUGACCCGCCACACUGGGACGGAGACACCGGCCAGACUCCUACGAGAGGCAGCAGUGGGGAAUAUUGGACAAUGGGCGCAAGCCUGAGGCAGCCAUGCCGCGUGUAUGAAGAAGGCCUUCGGGUUGUAAAGUACUUUCAGCGGGGAGGCGUUACCCGCCGAAGAAGCACCGGCUAACUCCGUGCCAGCAGCCGCGGUAAUUC
rnacentral:rRNA from 1 species